UGAUAAGAAGAGGACUUAAACCUCUGUUGA
rnacentral:tRNA from 1 species